GCCUCUUUGGUGGGUCGUAGAACGAACAGCGAUAGCGUUGACCAUGAAAUGAACAGCCAAUUAGAAUGAAGGCAUAAUGACGCGGCGCAAGUUUAUUGGAUAGGUCUGACAGAUUGGCACUAAACCUAAGAAAAAUGGAGUGAAAGUUAAAUAAAUUAAGAGAAAUAAAAGAAAGAAGCCAUAGAAUUAGAGGGGAGGUCUGUUCGGUGCGAGUGGCGAGUGACACUUGAAAACGCAGGCUCUCUUCCGUUGAGUUGAGUUGAGUUGUUCAAUAUCUUGUCCUGUUAAUCAAGCCGACGAUUUUAGCAUUAAUAAUUAUUACUGCUCGUGCUCAGUUAGUAACAGUGAUUAGACACAAAGACGAAGAAGGGAAAAAGAGAAGAAAAAUAAAGGAGAGGUUCCUUCCUGUUUUGCUGUGAACUGGAAGGAAGGAAGCUGAAAGUCAAUUGGGAUUCACCACUCUUGACACCCUGAAGCGAACAAGGGAGGAAUCCAAGAAGCAAGUGCAUUGCAUUGCAUGCUGAGUGAGAGUUUGUGGAGAGUGAGUGUGGGAUUAAAAAAGGGAAU